GGUUGAUCCUGCCAGUAGUCAUAUGCUUGUCUCAAAGAUUAAGCCAUGCAUGUCUAAGUAUAAACUGCUUAUACUGUGAAACUGCGAAUGGCUCAUUAAAUCAGUUAUAGUUUAUUUGAUGGUACUUCUUACUCGGAUAACCGUAAGAAAUUUAGAGCUAAUACGUGCGUAAAACCCGACUUCUGGAAGGGUCGUAUAUAUUAGAUGAAAGGCCGACCGGACUCUGUCCGACCCGCGGUGAAUCAUGAUAUCUUCACGAAUCGCAUAGCCUUGUGCUGGCGAUGUUUCAUUC
rnacentral:rRNA from 1 species